CACACAUUUUAUUAUUCAGCUUGCUAUCAUAGUCAAGUUGCUCUUAUACCCUAGCAGAAACAUUCUACCGUAUUAAUACCUAGGCGUUGCCUUGUAAACGAGAACCCUAGUCGUCAUAGCCUCCACAACAUACAGUCGUCGGAAACGAUACUUUCAUCGUGUUCUCAUACAACAUGCGACAUGUCAAAAAACACAAAACCGGUCAUCUUAUUUUUCCUGUAGACCCAAAUUAUAAGGGCUAUUUGUGACUGGAUUUUUAAGACCUACUCAACAUCUUAUAUGCUAAAUAAGAGAAAUAAAAUCAGUUUGGUGUGUUUUGUGUUAGUGUUCUAGUGUUCAUACGACUGACAAGAGGAGGAUGCCAUUGCCAAGAAAGAGAAAAAUUCUCACAAAUCCAAACUGAAGCUCGAUUACCAAUUGUUGCAUCUUUUGUGUCUUUCUUGUUUAUAAUCUUCUACACCUAACCAUUGUAGGUCAAUGGGUCAACAAUAAAAGAGCUACAGGUGAGAACAUCUUCCAACAAAUGGUUUUAAGUUUCGAAGGAUAUAAAUGAGGCUUCAAGCUUCGGAAGAGAUUUCAUUAUUAUGAGACUUCGAGUCUCAUUGAAUUAAACAGUGGCAUUAUGAGGUUUUAAGCUUCAUGGAAUAAAAACAAGGUCUAGGAACCUAGAAAGUUCAA